GACGAACGCUGACGGCGUGCUUAACACAUGCAAGUCGAAGGGAGUGGCGAACGGGUGAGUAACACGUGAGUAAACUGCCCUUUUAUUUGGGAUAAGCCUGGGCAACUGGGUCUAAUACUGGAUGGAUUGGGCGGGACGCGCGGCGUAUCAGCUUGUUGGUGGGGUGAUGGCUUACCAAGGCUUUGACGGGUCGCCGGCCUGCGAGGGUGGGCGGUCACACUGGGAAUGAGAUACGGCGCAGACUCCUAAGGGUGGCAGCAUUGGGGGAUAUUGCACAAUGGACGAAAGUCUGAUGCAGCGACGGCGGGUGGGGGAGGAAGGCCUUCGGGUUGUAAACUCCUUUCGCCCGCGGAAUGGUAGUGGGUAAAGAAGCGCCGGCUAACUACGUGCCAGCAGCCGCGGUAAUAC
rnacentral:rRNA from 1 species